UGAAACUGAUGUUGAUGUUGUUUAAUCUGUCAUGAUGAAAUGAAACUUGGAUGUCAUUUUUGUCCAAGUGGUUCUACGAAGCUCGCACUCUAUGCAUCAGGGAUUAGAUAUUAUUCAGUGCUAUUUUGUGGGUUUUGGUGAACAUGGCCUAGGAUGGACAUCCCUUCUGGCUUCUACUGUAUUCGUGAAAAAGCUCUUAGUUUGAGCUGCAGGCUUUCAGAGCUUCUGGUUUCAUACUGCCCUCAUGUGGACAGAAAAAAAAAAAGAUGGCCUUUGCAUGGACCUUUGGCCCUUUAAAGACUGAAAUGACAGACAGCUGUGUCCCUUGAACAGGUUUGACUGGUUUAGUUUUCAUUUUGCUUUCAGUUUGUUUUGCGUGUUAAAAUCUAGUUUCCACUGACGAAGACACUUGAGGGUCAAGCACAGGAUGAGCCAAUAAACUCUGCGUCUCACACCAGUCUGAAGUAUUUGACAAACCCGGCUGAAUCCUCUUGAUGAAAAGAUGGCAAAACC